CCUUUUCUAUCCCUGGUACUGGC
rnacentral:miRNA from 1 species